rnacentral:rRNA from 1 species
UACGUAGGGGGCAAGCGUUGUCCGGAUUUAUUGGGCGUAAAGAGCGUGUAGGCGGCCAGGUAGGUCUGCUGUGAAAACUCGAGGCUUAACCUCGAGAUGUCGGCGGAAACCAUCUGGCUAGAGUCCGGAAGAGGAGAAUGGAAUUCCCGGUGUAGCGGUGAAAUGCGCAGAUAUCGGGAAGAACACCCGUGGCGAAGGCGGUUCUCUGGGACGGUACUGACGCUGAGGAGCGAAAGCAUGGGGAGCGAACAGG